AGAGUAGCAAUACUUUUAGUGGCGAACGGGUGAGUAACGCGUGGGUGACCUGCCCCGAAGUGUGGGAUAACAGCUCGAAAGGGCUGCUAAUACCGCAUGUGGUCUUGGGUUUUAGAACCCCAUUUCUAAAGGCGAAAGCCGCUUCGGGAGGGGCCUGCGUCCCAUCAGCUAGUUGGUAAGGUCACGGCUUACCAAGGCGACGACGGGUAGGGGACCUGAGAGGGUGACCCCCCACACUGGCACUGAAACACGGGCCAGACACCUACGGGUGGCAGCAGUAGGGAAUCUUGCACAAUGGGCGCAAGCCUGAUGCAGCAACGCCGCGUGCGCGAUGAAGGCCUUCGGGUCGUAAAGCGCUUUUCUGGAGGACGAGAAGGGACGGUACUCCAGGAAGAAGGCUCGGCUAACUACGUGCCAGCAGCCGCGGUAAAACGUAGGAGCCUAGCGUUAUCCGAAUUUACUGGGCGUAAAGCGCGUGCAGGCGGCGGGGUAAGUUGGCUGUGAAAUCUCCCGGCUCAACUGGGAGGGGACGGUCAAGACUGCCCGGCUGGAGGUAGGUAGAGGGAGGUGGAAUUCCCGGUGUAGUGGUGAAAUGCGUAGAGAUCGGGAGGAACACCAGUGGCGAAAGCGGCCUCCUGGACCUGACCUGACGCUGAGAGGCGAAAGCUAGGGGAGCGAACGGGAUUAGAAACCCCGGUAGUCCUAGCCGUAAACGAUGUCGACUGGGCGGCGGUGGGGUAAAAGCCAUCGGUGCCGCAGCUAACGCGAUAAGUCGACCGCCUGGGGACUACGGCCGC
rnacentral:rRNA from 1 species